UGAAUCAAUCUUGCAUUCUAUGUUUCAGAUACACAUUUUUCAUUGCCCUAUAUCCGAUUGGAGUAACAGGGGAGUUGCUGUGCUUCUACUGGGCUCAACAGUAUGUGGCCAAGACGAAAGCAUGGAGCCAUGAGCUGCCAAAUCCCUUGAAUUUCACAUUCAGUUACAGUUACUUCCUUCUAUCUGUUAUGUUCUCCUACAUUCCAGUUUUCCCUCAAAUGUACAUGCACAUGGUCAACCAGAGGAAGAAGAUCAUAGGAGGCCAAACAUCAGAAAAGAAGGCCAAAUAGACAUUUGA